rnacentral:rRNA from 1 species
AUUGAACGCUGGCGGCAGGCCUAACACAUGCAAGUCGAACGAGUGGCGGACGGGUGAGUAAUGUCUGGGAAACUGCCUGAUUGAGGGGGAUAACUACUGGAAACGGUAUCUAAUCCCGCAUACCAUCAGCUUUGCCCAGAUGGGAUUAGCUAGUAGGUGGGGUAAUGGCUCACCUAGGCGACGAUCCCUAGCUGAUCGGAGAGGAUGACCAGCCACACUGGAACUUAGAAACGGGCCAGACUCCUACGGGAGGCAGCAGUGGGGAAUAUUGCACAAUGGGCGCAAGCCGGAUGCAGCCAGGGCGCGUGUAUGAAGAAGGCCUUCGGGUUGUAAAGUACUUUCAGCGGGGAGGCGUUACCCGCAGAAGAAGCACCGGCUAACUCCGUGCCAGCAGCCGCGGUAAUAC